rnacentral:rRNA from 1 species
UACGUAGGGGGCUAGCGUUGUCCGGAAUCAUUGGGCGUAAAGAGCGCGUAGGCGGCCAGAUAAGUCCGGUGUGAAAGUCACAGGCUCAACCUGUGAAUGCCGCUGGAAACUGUCUGGCUAGAGUCCGGAAGGGGCGAGUGGAAUUCCUGGUGUAGCGGUGAAAUGCGCAGAUAUCAGGAGGAACACCAAUGGCGAAGGCAGCUCGCUGGAACGGUACUGACGCUGUGGCGCGAAAGCUAGGGGAGCAAACAGG